UGUAGCAAUACAAGGCAGACGGCUCAGUAACGCGUAGUCAACCUAACCUAUGGACGGGAAUAACCUCGGGAAACUGAGAAUAAUGCCCGAUAGAACACUAUGCCUGGAAUGGUUUGUGUUCCAAAUGAUUUAUCGCCAUAGGAUGGGACUGCGGCCUAUCAGUUUGUUGGUGAGGUAAUGGCCCACCGAGACUAUUACAGGUACGGGCUCUGAGAGGAGUGGCCCGGAGAUGGGUACUGAGACACGGACCCAGGCCCUAUGGGGCGCAGCAGGCGAGAAAACUUUGCAAUGUGCGAAAGCACGACAAGGUUAAUCCGAGUGGUUUCUGCUAAAGGAACCUUUUGUCAGUCCUAGAAACACUAACGAAUAAGGGGUGGGCAAGUUCUGGUGUCAGCCGCCGCGGUAAAACCAGCACCUCAAGUGGUCAGGAUGAUUAUUGGGCCUAAAGCAUCCGUAGCCGGCUCUGUAAGUUUUCGGUUAAAUCUGUACGCUUAACGUACAGGCUGCCGGGAAUACUGCAGAGCUAGGGAGUGGGAGAGGUAGACGGUACUCGGUAGGAAGGGGUAAAAUCCUUUGAUCUAUUGAUGACCACCUGUGGCGAAGGCGGUCUACCAGAACACGUCCGACGGUGAGGGAUGAAAGCUGGGGGAGCAAACCGGAUUAGAUACCCGGGUAGUCCCAGCUGUAAACUAUGCAAACUCAGUGAUGCAUUGGCUUGUGGCCAAUGCAGUGCUGCAGGGAAGCCGUUAAGUUUGCCGCCUGGGAAGUACGUACGCAAGUAUGAAACUUAAAGGAAUUGGCGGGGGAGCACCACAAGGGGUGAAGCCUGCGGUUCAAUUGGA
rnacentral:rRNA from 1 species